rnacentral:rRNA from 1 species
UACGAAGGGGGCUAGCGUUGCUCGGAAUUACUGGGCGUAAAGGGCGCGUAGGCGGCACUGUUAGUCAGGCGUGAAAGUCCUGGGCUCAACCUGGGAACUGCGCUUGAUACGGCAGAGCUAGAGGAUGGAAGAGGGUCGCGGAAUUCCCAGUGUAGAGGUGAAAUUCGUAGAUAUUGGGAAGAACACCGGUGGCGAAGGCGGCGACCUGGUCCAUUACUGACGCUGAGCCGCGAAAGCCAGGGGAGCGAACGGG